GACGAACGCUGGCGGCGUGCUUAACACAUGCAAGUCGAACGGAAAGGCCCUGCUUUUGUGGGGUGCUCGAGUGGCGAACGGGUGAGUAACACGUGAGUAACCUGCCCUUGACUUUGGGAUAACUUCAGGAAACUGGGGCUAAUACCGGAUAGGAGCUCCUGCUGCAUGGUGGGGGUUGGAAAGUUUCGGCGGUUGGGGAUGGACUCGCGGCUUAUCAGCUUGUUGGUGGGGUAGUGGCUUACCAAGGCUUUGACGGGUAGCCGGCCUGAGAGGGUGACCGGCCACAUUGGGACUGGGAUACGGGCCAGACCCCUACGGGAGGCAGGAGGGGGGAAUAUUGCACAAUGGGCGGAAGCCUGAUGCAGCAACGCCGCGUGGGGGAUGACGGCCUUCGGGUUGGAAACCGCUUUCGGCUGUGACGGAGCGUGAGUGACGGUAAUUGGUAAAGAAGGACCGGCUAACUACGUG
rnacentral:rRNA from 1 species